UCCGGAAUUAUUGGGCGUAAAGAGCUCGUAGGCGGUUUGUCGCGUCUGCUGUGAAAGCCCGGGGCUUAACCCCGUGGUGUGCAGUGGGUACGGGCAGACUUGAGUGCAGUAGGGGAGACUGGAAUUCCUGGUGUAGCGGUGAAAUGCGCAGAUAUCAGGAGGAACACCGAUGGCGAAGGCAGGUCUCUGGGCUGUUACUGACGCUGAGGAGCGAAAGCAUGGGGAGCGAACAGGAUUAGAUACCCUGGUAGUCCAUGCCGUAAACGUUGGGCACUAGGUGUGGGGGACAUUCCACGUUUUCCGCGCCGUAGCUAACGCAUUAAGUGCCCCGCCUGGGGAGUACGGCCGCAAGGCUAAAACUCAAAGGAAUUGACGGGGGCCCGCACAAGCGGCGGAGCAUGCGGAUUAAUUCGAUGCAACGCGAAGAACCUUACCAAGGCUUGACAUACACCAGACCGGCCCAGAGAUGGGUUUUCCUCUUUGAGGUUGGUGUACAGGUGGUGCAUGGUUGUCGUCAGCUCGUGUCGUGAGAUGUUGGGUUAAGUCCCGCAACGAGCGCAACCCUCGUUCUAUGUUGCCAGCACGUGAUGGUGGGGACUCAUAGGAGACUGCCGGGGUCAACUCGGAGGAAGGUGGGGAUGACGUCAAAUCAUCAUGCCCCUUAUGUCUUGGGCUUCACGCAUGCUACAAUGGCCGGUACAAUGGGUUGCGAUACCGUGAGGUGGAGCUAAUCCCAAAAAGCUGGUCUCAGUUCGGAUCGUGGUCUGCAACUCGACCACGUGAAGUCGGAGUCGCUAGUAAUCGC
rnacentral:rRNA from 2 species